AGCUAGCCUUGGCUGGUGUAUUGCUUCCUGUGCCGUCCACAACUCAUACCUAGCUUCCGCGCUUCUGUCGCAGGAUGCACCGAUAUCAACAACCAACAAUACGCACAAGUUAUGAUCCUAUUUGAAUGUGUUGCGGGUCAAUUAAAAAAGAACACGCCCCGCAAAUGGGUUGCACUUUGGACAACCAUGCUUCAAACCAACCGGAGUAGCCAAUUGCAAUCAGAGCAGUGAUGCUAAAAAUUGAGGCCUCGGUGGGUCGAGCCUACAAUCUAACCUGCCCCUUUGGCGUGCACCACUCGCUCCGG